rnacentral:rRNA from 1 species
UACGUAGGGUGCGAGCGUUAAUCGGAAUUACUGGGCGUAAAGCGUGCGCAGGCGGCGGCUCAAGUCAGGUGUGAAAUCCCCGGGCUUAACCUGGGAAUUGCGCUUGAAACUAGGUCGCUAGAGUGUGGCAGAGGGGGGUGGAAUUCCACGUGUAGCAGUGAAAUGCGUAGAGAUGUGGAGGAACACCGAUGGCGAAGGCAGCCCCCUGGGCUAACACUGACGCUCAUGCACGAAAGCGUGGGGAGCAAACAGG